ACCCUUCCAAAUAGUAGUUUUAAAGCUAGAUUAUUGGUAUAGAAAGGCUUCUUUGUGAUGAAUUGGAAAGAUGGAGGAAAAAGAUGAAAGAACAUCAGAAUCAAAGAUGGGACCUAUGAUAGUAAAGCUAGAAGAUUUGGAUAUAAGUAUCUAGGCGUUAAUGGAGGUAAGAACAUUGGAACCUUCGAGUUCUCUCUUACAUUUUUCAUAUUGCUUGGCCAAAGAA
rnacentral:lncRNA from 1 species